GACGAACGCUGGCGGCGUGCCUAACACAUGCAAGUCGAACGGAGAGGCCCUGCUUUUGUGGGGUGCUCGAGUGGCGAACGGGGGAGUAACACGUGAGUAACCUGCCCUUGUCUUUGGGAUAACUUUAGGAAACUGGGGCGCAUAUCGGAUAGGAGCUACUGCAGCAUGGUGGUGGUUGGAAAGUUUCGGCGGUGGGGGAUGGACUCGCGGCUUAUCCGCUUGUUGGUGUGGUAGCGGCUUACCAAGGCUUCGACGGGUAGCCGACCUGAGAGGGUGACCGGCCACACUGGAACGGAGACAGGGACCAGACGACUACGGGAGGCAGCAGUAGGGAAUCUUCCGCAAUGGGCGAAAGCCUGACGGAGCAACGCCGCGUGAGUGAUGAAGGUCUUCGGAUCGUAAAACUCUGUUAUUAGGGAAGAACAAAUGUGUAAGUAACUAUGCACGUCUUGACGGUACCUAAUCAGAAAGCCACGGCUAACUACGUG
rnacentral:rRNA from 1 species